CGUGGGGGAUAACGCAGCGAAAGCUGUGCUAAUACCGCAUACGAUCUAUGGAUGAAAGCGGGGGACCGUAAGGCCUCGCGCGAUUGGAGCGGCCGAUGUCAGAUUAGGUAGUUGGUGGGGUAAAGGCCCACCAAGCCAACGAUCUGUAGCUGGUCUGAGAGGACGACCAGCCACACUGGGACUGAGACACGGCCCAGACUCCUACGGGAGGCAGCAGUGGGGAAUUUUGGACAAUGGGCGCAAGCCUGAUCCAGCAAUGCCGCGUGCAGGAUGAAGGCCUUCGGGUUGUAAACUGCUUUUCUACGGAGCGAAAAGGCUCUCUCUAAUACAGGGGGCUCAUGACGGUACGGUAAGAAU
rnacentral:rRNA from 1 species